rnacentral:lncRNA from 1 species
AUGUGAUCUGUUUUGCAGGCUGUAAAUAGCUUUAUUCAGCUUUUUCAAGGAUUAAAUGGUGGAAAAAUUGGUUGUUUUUGGAUCAAGAAAAAUUCGGGGUUUGGGUUUCCGCCAUUUCUGAAAUUUCAUGCCAAAUAGGGCAUGAAUCUUUCAAAAUUUGUAGGCAUAUUGAUCUUAAAGCUGUGAAUCAAAAGCUUUUGUUACUAAUUUGUGAUAAUCGUUGAGAAAAACAGAGUUUUUUGGAGAUUGAAGGCUU